CCUACGGGAGGCAGCAGUCGAGAAUCAUUCACAAUGGGGGAAACCCUGAUGGUGCGACGCCGCGUGGGGGAAUGAAGGUCUUCGGAUUGUAAACCCCUGUCAUGUGGGAGCAAAUUAAAAAGAUAGUACCACAAGAGGAAGAGACGGCUAACUCGGUGCCAGCAGCCGCGGGAAUACAGAGGUCUCAAGCGUUGUUCGGAAUCACUGGGCGUAAAGCGUGCGUAGGCUGUUUCGUAAGUCGUGUGUGAAAGGCGCGGGCUCAACCCGCGGACGACACAUGAUACUGCGAGACUAGAGUAAUGGAGGGGGAACCGGAAUUCUCGGUGUAGCAGUGAAAUGCGUAGAUAUCGAGAGGAACACUCGUGGCGAAGGCGGGUUCCUGGACAUUAACUGACGCUGAGGCACGAAGGCCAGGGGAGCGAAAGGGAUUAGAUACCCGGGUAGUC
rnacentral:rRNA from 1 species